rnacentral:rRNA from 2 species
GGACUACAAGGGUAUCUAAUCCCGUUCGCUCCCCUGGCUUUCGCGCCUCAGCGUCAGGAGGGAUCCAGCAGCUCGCUUUCGCCACCGGCGUUCCUUCCGAUAUCUACGCAUUUCACCGCUCCACCGAAAGUUCCAGCUGCCCCUAUCCCGCUCGAGACCGCCAGUCUCAAAGGCACUUCCCCGGUUGGGCCGGGGGCUUUCACCCCUGACUUGGCGGUCCGCCUACGCGCCCUUUAAGCCCAGUGAAUCCGAACAACGUUCGCACGGUUCGUCUUACCGCGGCGGCUGGCAC